rnacentral:rRNA from 1 species
ACAUAAGCGGAGGAAAAGAAACCAACAGGGAUUGCCCUAGUAACGGCGAGUGAAGCGGCAACAGCUCAAAUUUGAAAUCUGGCGCAAGCCCGAGUUGUAAUUUGUAGAGGAUGCUUCUGGGUAGCGACCGAUCUAAGUUCCUUGGAACAGGACGUCAUAGAGGGUGAGAAUCCCGUAUGUGACCGGCCCGCACCCUUUACGUAGCUCCUUCGACGAGUCGAGUUGUUUGGGAAUGCAGCUCUAAAUGGGAGGUAAAUUUCUUCUAAAGCUAAAUACCGGCCAGAGACCGAUAGCGCACAAGUAGAGUGAUCGAAAGAUGAAAAGUACUUUGGAAAGAGAGUUAAAAAGCACGUGAAAUUGUUGAAAGGGAAGCGCCUGCAACCAGACUUCGCGGCAGUGUUCCGCCGGUCUUCUGACCGGUUCAUUCUCUGUCGCGAGGCCAUCAUCGUCUGGGCCCGCCGGAUAAGACCUGAGGAAUGUGGCUCCCCCUCGGGGGAGUGUUAUAGCCUCUGGUGAUGCGGCGUGGCUCGGGCGAGGUCCGCGCUUCGGCAAGGAUGAUGGCGUAAUGGUUGUCGGCGGCCCGUCUUGAAACACGGACCAAGGAGUCUAACAUCUAUGCGAGUGUUCGGGUGUCAAACCCCUACGCGUAAUGAAAGUGAACGGAGGUGGGAACCGCAAGGUGCACCAUCGACCGAUCCUGAUGUCCUCGGAUGGAUUUGAGUAAGAGCAUAGCUGUUGGGACCCGAAAGAUGGUGAACUAUGCCUGAAUAGGGUGAAGCCAGAGGAAACUCUGGUGGAGGCUCGCAGCGGUUCUGACGUGCAAAUCGAUCGUCAAAUUUGGGUAUAGGGGCGAAAGACUAAUCGAA